AAAACAAUGAUACCAGAUGCCAAUCAAUGGACUUAUACUAGUCUCACAAAACAAACAACAAGGAUACCAGAUGCCAAUCAAUGGACUUAUACUAGUCUCCCACCAUAUCAUAGGAACAACUGCCAAGUAAUGGACUUAUGCUUGUCUCCUCCAUGGACAAAGCAAAAAUGCUAUAAAGCAAAGUUUAUGAAAUGAUAUACA
rnacentral:lncRNA from 1 species